rnacentral:lncRNA from 1 species
UUGGGCUGGGCGGUCGCCCUGCCCCACCGCCCUUCGGCGCUCGCAGAAAAAUCAUGUCUUCUUCCAGAGUGGGGCUCCGUUUGGCUGCCUGUUUACUAAACGUUUCAGAAGCCGGAAGAAAAUACAUUGUUGAGAACAUAGCAAAAGCAGCUCUUCUUGACAAAAAUGGAAAGAAACAUCCUCAAGUUUCAGUGCUCAAUAUAUUUUCCGAUCAAGACUACAAGAGAUCAGUCAUUACAAUAGCAACUUCUGUUGAUAAGUUGGUGGACAAGCGCAACCAAGCCUAAAGGCAAGUGCUGUUGCGAGGUCGACAUCCAGGAACCAGAGGAGGGCAGAGCAAUCCACAGAAUGGAUCUGGGGUGACUCAUGGAGGAAAACCAACACACAGUACCAUUUAAUUCUUUUUAAAAAGAUGGAAAAUUAUACCAUACCCAGAAUUACUAAAUUCUAAAUAGAGGGUAUAUUGCAUUUACAUUUGUAAAAGAAUGUUUCCCCAUGUAUCUUUUAAAAAUUCAUUUUAAAGAUAUACAAUAAAAAGUGUUUAACUCUGUUUUUCAAAAAUA